GUCGAGAAUCUUCGGCAAUGGACGAAAGUCUGACCGAGCGACGCCGCGUGGAGGAUGAAGGCCUUCGGGUUGUAAACUCCUGUUGGGAGGGAACAAAUUUUGAGUGACCUCCUGAGGAAGCACGGGCUAAGUUCGUGCCAGCAGCCGCGGUAAGACGAACCGUGCGAACGUUAUUCGGAAUCAUUGGGCUUAAAGGGCGCGUAGGCGGCGGUGUAAGUUGGAAGUGAAAUCCCAUCGGCUCAACCGUGGAAUUGCUCCCAGUACUGCAUCGCUCGAGGGGGAUAGGGGUCUGCGGAACUACCGGUGGAGCGGUGAAAUGUGUUGAUAUCGGUGGGAACGCCAGUGGCGAAAGCGGCAGACUUGACCCUUCCUGACGCUGAGGCGCGAAAGCUAGGGGAGCAAACGGGAUUAGAAACCCUGGUAGUCC
rnacentral:rRNA from 1 species